rnacentral:lncRNA from 1 species
ACCCCGUUAAGGACAGUGGAAAAAUCCUCACUCGAACAUAAAAAAAAGGAGGAGAGAGAAAAAGGGAAAGCGGCGAGCCCCACCUGUGAUAAGAAAAAAUCAAAUUACAUCAAAGACACAAGGAACCUCAUCUCAACGAGGAAGGAUACUCUUGUCAAAAACACUCAGUCUCCAAGAGGGAACCCAACAUCGGUAGGAGAAAAUCGACUUCCUCAAGUUAACGAGAAGUUCGGGCCCC